GGCAACUUGGCCGAGUGGUUAAGGCGCUAGAAUCAGGCUAGUCUUCUGGCAGUCCAUCUAGUUCGAAAGAGCGUGAGUUCGAGUCUCACAGUUGUCA